rnacentral:rRNA from 1 species
UACGUAGGGUGCAAGCGUUGUCCGGAAUUAUUGGGCGUAAAGAGCUCGUAGGCGGUUUGUCGCGUCUGCUGUGAAAUCCCGAGGCUCAACCUCGGGCCUGCAGUGGGUACGGGCAGACUAGAGUGCGGUAGGGGAGAUUGGAAUUCCUGGUGUAGCGGUGGAAUGCGCAGAUAUCAGGAGGAACACCGAUGGCGAAGGCAGAUCUCUGGGCCGUAACUGACGCUGAGGAGCGAAAGCGUGGGAGCGAACAGG